AUUUUAAUAGUUUAAUAAAAAUAUUGAUUUGUGAUGUCAAAGAUAUAAAAUUUAUUUAAAAUA
rnacentral:tRNA from 1 species